rnacentral:tRNA from 1 species
UUUUGAGGUCUUUAAAACAGUGGAUUAAUCGGACGAGGACAAAGAGAGAGUCCCAUUCUACAUGUCAAUACUGACACAAUGAAAUUUCUAGUAAAAGGAAAAUCCGUCGACUUUAUUAGUCGUGAGGGUUCGAGUCCCUCUAUCCCCA